UACGUAGGGACCGAGCGUUGUCCGGAAUCAUUGGGCGUAAAGAGCGUGUAGGCGGCCAACUAAGUCAGACGUGAAAUCCCUCGGCUUAACCGGGGAACUGCAUCUGAUACUGGAUGGCUUGAGAUUGGGAGAGGGAUGCGGAAUUCCAGGUGUAGCGGUGAAAUGCGUAGAUAUCUGGAGGAACACCGGUGGCGAAGGCGGCAUCCUGGACCAACACUGACGCUGAGGAGCGAAAGCCAGGGGAGCGAACGGG
rnacentral:rRNA from 1 species